GGUCGUGCGAUGGCCUAGUGGCUAACGCUCUCGUUUUCUAAUCUGGAGGUCCUGGGUUCAAACCCAAGAGGGCCA